rnacentral:lncRNA from 1 species
CACGGCCCCGCCGCUGUGGAACGUGUGGGGACGGAGCGGGACGGGGAGUAAACAAGCCUCUGGCCGCGCUCCCGAGCUUGGCCGGCUCCCCGCGGGAACGGGCAGUUCCACCCGGCGGUGUCCCGCCGCCCUUACGCUUCCCGUGCGCUGAGGGGAAAGUAAUAGUCCCACCUUUGCCGUUUCUUCUGUUUUGGCUGUCAGCCUCCUACUCCCUCCUACCAACCCGUGGCCACAGGGGAAACAAACCUCGUUCCAAAAUACGGCUCGGGUUCACAGACCGUGCCUUGUAUUGCACAAAUUCCUCGGCCACUCUCCGCGUGGAAAGCAGGAGCUAAAGAAAGCAAGCCACAUGAUGAUGUAAUGAAAGCCCAAGUCAUAGCACACGCCAAAUAGGUGUCUUCUUUACGAAUGAUUGGCUCUUGGAAUUAACUGGCCUUUGGAUUCUUAAGUCUGUGUGCUUUGUGUCCUCCAAAUGGUUUUAAAAGAAGCUAAUUUAGAAAUAGUUAAAAAUGCAGUUAUGAUCCUAAUGAUGGACGUCUUAUAGAAGCACAGAUCUUGCUGCAUGCUCCCUUUGUUGCCCAGAGAAGCUGUGGUGCCCCAUCCCUGGAGGUGCUCGAGGCCAGGUUGGAUGGGGCCCUGGGCAGCUGAGGUGGGGGUGGCAGCCCUGCCCACAGCAGGGAAGUUGGAACUGUAUGAUCUUUAAAGUCCCUUCCAACCCAAGGCACUCUGUGACCCUACGGUUUAUCUCUUUGACCGUGCACACCCAGGUCGAGCACAAAGAAAUGGUACACACACGUACAACGGCAGAAGAAUACAGAAAAACUAAAAGCCCAUAACAAAACUUAGUGCAGCUGUGUAAAAUGCAUAAGAAUUGUCAAAGCAAAGAGAACUUAUGGGCAGCUGGCAAAAAAUACCCAGGGAUCAAGUUUUAUUCUCCAUGAAAAGCCCCAAAGACAUCCUAAACAAUUUAAGAAGCAGAAGUUAACACCCAACAUCCUCCAGUGCCUCUGUCCCAAGGCUGUUCUCCAAAUCUUGCUGAGCUUUCUUACAGUAAGUCUGGCUUCACCCAGCACCAGCCAGACAGGAUGUUCUACUGAUGUUUCAGACCGGGCUCCUGCUGAGCAGUGUGAAGCACAGGGAUUGCAUCUCACUGUGCAAUUUUCUUUUUGUCACCUUGAAAGUGCUUCUGUAUGCAAGGCUGGAACAAGGGUCAGCAGAUGUUGUGGCCUCGUUUCAAGGAAUCUUCAACGCUUCUACUUUCUUCAUCUUCUAAGCCUUUAAGAACUCGUCAGCCGCUUGAUAAUUCAGCACACAGAGCACCACCCUUAAGGGAAGAAAGGUGUUUCAGAGCCUCCCUGAUUCAGACAAACCAAGUGUCGCUACCUCUGAAUUUCUGCUGCAUGUUGCCAGUGUUUUCUGCAUGAGAAGAGUCAGUGGAAGGUUAUUUGACGACAUCUUCCCUGGCAGCCAUCCACUGCAGGAAGACAACAGAAAAUGGAACCCCACCUCCCCACCUCAUCUCCCCACCUGCAGGCUGAACAGAGGCACCCUCCCAGCCCCUGCCUAUGUGCCGCAGCGUCCUCACAGUCUUCUCCAAUUUGCAAGCAUCCAUUAAGCUCAAGGAGAAGCUACCACAACGAGGGAAAGCCACGCUCAGUCUCUGAAGAGCCACCUGUUACUUCAGCCUCUUGAUGUAAUUCACAAGUUCUGAUUUCUCCUUUUCCCAUCUUCCAAGUCAAUGCCCAAGAGAAGACUUGGAAGA